AAGUAAGAAGCAAUUUGCAUUUAAUUUCGACUUAAAAAUUAGGGAUAUAAAAUUUCCCCUUACUUA
rnacentral:tRNA from 1 species